AACGAACGCUGGCGGCAGGCCUAACACAUGCAAGUCGAGCGAAGCCUUCGGGCUUAGCGGCGGACGGGUGAGUAACGCGUGGGAACGUGCCCUUUGGUACGGAAUAGCCCCGGGAAACUGGGAGUAAUACCGUAUGUGGUCGAGAGACGAAAGAUUUAUCGCCAAAGGAUCGGCCCGCGUUGGAUUAGGUAGUUGGUGGGGUAAUGGCCUACCAAGCCGAAGAGCCAUAGCUGGUUUGAGAGGAUGAUCAGCCACACUGGGACUGAGACACGGCCCAGACUCCUACGGGAGGCAGCAGUGGGGAAUCUUAGACAAUGGGGGAAACCCUUAUCUAGCCAUGCCGCGUGAUCGAUGAAGGCCUUAGGGUUGUAAAGAUCUUUCAGUGGGGAAGAUAAUGACUGUACCCACAGAAGAAGCCCCGGCUAACUCCGUGCCAGCAGCCGCCGUAAGAC
rnacentral:rRNA from 1 species